rnacentral:rRNA from 1 species
UACGUAGGGUGCAAGCGUUGUCCGGAAUUAUUGGGCGUAAAGAGCUCGUAGGCGGUCUGUCACGUCGGCUGUGAAAACCCGGGGCUCAACCCCGGGCCUGCAGUCGAUACGGGCAGACUGGAGUACUGCAGGGGAGACUGGAAUUCCUGGUGUAGCGGUGGAAUGCGCAGAUAUCAGGAGGAACACCGGUGGCGAAGGCGGGUCUCUGGGCAGUAACUGACGCUGAGGAGCGAAAGCGUGGGGAGCGAACAGG